GGGCGCUUGGUUUAGUGGUAUAAUAUGUCAUUCGCACCGCGAUUGCUGAUAAACACACACGCGCACACACGUGCGUGCGCGUAAGGCAUGCACGCUUUGACGGGGUCGCCGGUUCGAUUCCGGCAGCGUCCA